rnacentral:rRNA from 1 species
UACGUAGGGGGCUAGCGUUGUCCGGAUUUAUUGGGCGUAAAGAGCGUGUAGGCGGCCAGGUAGGUCCGCUGUGAAAGUCCGAGGCUCAACCUCGGAAUGUCGGCGGAAACCCUCUGGCUAGAGUCCGGAAGAGGAGAGUGGAAUUCCCGGUGUAGCGGUGAAAUGCGCAGAUAUCGGGAAGAACACCCGUGGCGAAGGCGGCUCUCUGGAACGGUACUGACGCUGAGACGCGAAAGCCAGGGGAGCGAACGGGG